AGAGUUUGAUCAUGGCUCAGGAUGAACGCUGGCGGCGUGCUUAACACAUGCAAGUCGAACGAUGAUCCCAGCUUGCUGGGGGAUUAGUGGCGAACGGGUGAGUAACACGUGAGUAACCUGCCCUUAACUCUGGGAUAAGCCUGGGAAACUGGGUCUAAUACCGGAUAUGACUCCUCAUCGCAUGGUGGGGGGUGGAAAGCUUUAUUGUGGUUUUGGAUGGACUCGCGGCCUAUCAGCUUGUUGGUGAGGUAAUGGCUCACCAAGGCGACGACGGGUAGCCGGCCUGAGAGGGUGACCGGCCACACUGGGACUGAGACACGGCCCAGACUCCUACGGGAGGCAGCAGUGGGGAAUAUUGCACAAUGGGCGAAAGCCUGAUGCAGCGACGCCGCGUGAGGGAUGACGGCCUUCGGGUUGUAAACCUCUUUCAGUAGGGAAGAAGCGAAAGUGACGGUACCUGCAGAAGAAGCGCCGGCUAACUACGUGCCAGCAGCCGCGGUAAUACGUAGGGGGCAAGCGUUGUCCGGAUUUAUUGGGCGUAAAGAGCUCGUAGGCGGCUUGGCAAGUCGGGUGUGAAAACUUCAGGCUCAACCUGGAGAUGGCACUCGAUACUGCUAUGGCUAGAGUCCGGUAGGGGACCACGGAAUUCCUGGUGUAGCGGUGAAAUGCGUAGAGAUGUGGAGGAACACCGAUGGCGAAGGCAGCCCCCUGGGCUAACACUGACGCUCAUGCACGAAAGCGUGGGGAGCAAACAGGAUUAGAUACCCCGGUAGUCC
rnacentral:rRNA from 1 species